GAAAGGUGGGGGAGGGGGGAGGGGGGAAGCUGGUAGUAUUGCUGGAUUCUAAUAACUGCUAACACAGGGAGUGCAAGAGUAACUCCAGUGGAAGUGAAAGGAUAAAUAAAUCUGCAAGGCUCUUCAUGCUCUGACUGCUGCCUUCUGACUGACUUUAUGAUGACCUGUUCCAGCUAUGCUCACUUCAUUGUGACUCCCCAAAGACUUCAUGCUAUCAUUUCACUUUGACCAUACAAAUCUCCAUUAAAAUGGCUAUGUGUCACAACUUACUAAACACAGCUGGAUUUCCAACCACAGCAGACACUGAUUUGGCAGUACUGUCAGAAGACCUUGCCCCUACAAUGUCAAGGACAAACAUUAAGUGACAUUUUCUGAUAGAAAAAAUAAAUGCAUGUAGGUUACCAUAAGUUUGACUCUGGC
rnacentral:lncRNA from 1 species